rnacentral:lncRNA from 7 species
AUUCUAAAUCUUAAUUCAGCGUGCAAUCAAACAAUAUAAUUAUGAAAAAACCUAAUUUAAAUUCUUAGUUCCAUGCUACAAUAUCCACAACCAAACGGGUAUAAGGUUUUGGCGACCAUGGGAUCGAACAAGACUUGAUGAAAGAGACGAGGGAGCUAGUAGAGCAGCUCGUCACGCUUUGGCCCCUCAUCCAUAUCUCCGCGACAGUCGGUGGUCUGAUUUUCACUCACGAGCGUUUGGCAUCUGUUUGUGCUGGCUUGUUGCGUUGCGGCGGCUCUCCCCGUACGGUUCGGCCGCUUCCCACCACGUCCUGCCUGCCGGUGGCCUCCUCCUUCAUCCCACAGGCCACACCGACUCACAGUCAUCAUCUAUCAGCUCCCCCUUGGAAUCU